CUUCCUGAGUCGUAUACCCUUGUGCUAUAGGGUAUAUGACUCAGGAAUAUGGCAGAAUUGUUGCAUCAUUUCUGAUUUGCCUUGGAUUUUCUUUCUGUUCCCCUUGAGGAACAAUGAGGUCUUUCAAUCUUGGAAGAAAUUUAGGAAUUUCAAGUCCCUGCAAAGAAACAUGCUUGUUCUCUGUGUAGCUGAAAGAAGGCAGAACUUACUUAAAAGGCCUAUCACCUUAAAAUAGGGGACCUUUCUCUGGCCUGUGUGAGAGUAGCACUUUCUUAAUUGCAUUUAAAUAACUAUGUAGCAUGAUCGAAGUAUACUUUCACCAAAUCUGUUUCACUAAAAGUAUUUUUCAUGCUCUGCAGUAACUGAAGUGCUGCAGUUGAGUGAUGCUCUUCGAGAUGACAUCCUUCCUGAACUUGGUGUUCGAUUUGAAGAUCAUGAAGGACUUCCAACUGUGGUUAAAUUAGUGGAUAAAGACACGUUAUUGAAAGAACGAGAAGAAAAGAAAAAGGUUGAAGAAGAGAAAAAAAGGAAGAAAGAAGAAGCGGCCAGGAAAAAACAACAGCAGGAAGCAGCAAAACUGGAAAAAAUGAAGAUUCCACCACAUGAAAUGUUCAAAUCAGAACAUGACAAAU